rnacentral:rRNA from 1 species
AGGGUUUGAUCAUGGCUCAGGACGAACGCUGGCGGUGCGCCUUAUGCAUGCAAGUCGAGCGAAGCUUUUCAGUAGUUUACUACAGAAAAUGACUGAGCGGCGAACGGGUGAGUAACGCGUGAGCAACCUACCUUAGUUACUGGGAUAGCCCGAGGAAACUCGGAUUAAUACCGGAUAUUCUUAUUUAAUCACAUGAUUUUUUAAGGAAAGGUCAGCCGAACUAAGAUGGGCUCGCGUUCUAUCAGCUAGUUGGUAGGGUAAUGGCCUACCAAGGCUACGACGGAUAGCUGGUCUGAGAGGACGAUCAGCCACACUGGGACUGAGACACGGCCCAGACUCCUACGGGAGGCUGCAGCAGGGAAUAUUGCGCAAUGAGCGAAAGCUUGACGCAGCGACACCGCGUGUGGGAUGACGGAUCUAGGUUUGUAAACCACUUUCAGGAGGGAAGAAAAUGACGGUACCUCCACAAGAAGCCCCGGCCAACUACGUGCCAGCCGCCGCGGUAAUUC